rnacentral:rRNA from 1 species
UGCAGUCGAGCGGAUGACGGGAGCUUGCUCCUUGAUUCAGCGGCGGACGGGUGAGUAAUGCCUAGGAAUCUGCCUGGUAGUGGGGGACAACGUUUCGAAAGGAACGCUAAUACCGCAUACGUCCUACGGGAGAAAGCAGGGGACCUUCGGGCCUUGCGCUAUCAGAUGAGCCUAGGUCGGAUUAGCUAGUAGGUGAGGUAAUGGCUCACCUAGGCGACGAUCCGUAACUGGUCUGAGAGGAUGAUCAGUCACACUGGAACUGAGACACGGUCCAGACUCCUACGGGAGGCAGCAGUGGGGAAUAUUGGACAAUGGGCGAAAGCCUGAUCCAGCCAUGCCGCGUGUGUGAAGAAGGUCUUCGGAUUGUAAAGCACUUUAAGUUGGGAGGAAGGGCAGUAAGCUAAUACCUUGCUGUUUUGACGUUACCGACAGAAUAAGCACCGGCUAACUCUGUGCCAGCAGCCGCGGUAAUACAGAGGGUGCAAGCGUUAAUCGGAAUUACUGGGCGUAAAGCGCGCGUAGGUGGUUCGUUAAGUUGGAUGUGAAAGCCCCGGGCUCAACCUGGGAACUGCAUCCAAAACUGGCGAGCUAGAGUAUGGUAGAGGGUGGUGGAAUUUCCUGUGUAGCGGUGAAAUGCGUAGAUAUAGGAAGGAACACCAGUGGCGAAGCGACCACCUGGACUGAUACUGACACUGAGGUGCGAAAGCGUGGGGAGCAACAGGAUUAGAUACCCUGGUAGUCCCCGCCGUAACGAUGUCAACUAGCCGUUGGAAUCCUUGAGAUUUUAGUGCGCAGCUAACGCAUUAAGUUGACCGCCUGGGGAGUACGCCGCAAGGUUAAACUCAAUGAAUUGACGGGGCCCGCACAAGCGGUGGAGCAUGGGGUUUAUUCGAGCAACCCGAAAAUCUACAGCUGACAUGCAAAAACUU